CGCCUGGCGAGUGAGAAGGGUGUGUGUGUGUGUGUGUGCGUGUGGGUGUGUGUUCCAGCAUCAGCGACGGCGGGCUCAUAUUCUACUACUACCCUCCCCGUUUUCCUUCACUCUCUAGUUUCGAUUUAGUUCGAAGUGUCGAAGGUUGGGAGAGUUAUAUUUAUUUCAGUUGGCGAACGCUGUUACCAUUAUAGAUAAAAAAAGGAUUAUUAUUUUUCUCGAGCAGCAUCAAGAAGAGUAGCCGUCCGUCUUGGAGGCCCUCUCAAGACAUCAGUAUUCACGCCCAGAUUACGCUAGUGCAGUGCUUUGCGGACGGUCCGAAGGAUUAUAUAUACCCUUUGUCGUGUGUCGUUUGAAGUUUGCGAAUCCUAACGCGAUUAUGAUGGAUUAACAGAAAGAUUCGGAUCUUUUUUUUGCGGCAGGCAGGAGGAAAUACUCGCAAGU